AAAGAGGAUAUUACGUUAUAAUUGUUGCUAUUGGCAAUGCUGUUAGCUCGCACGAUCAGAGGAUUGUACUUAAAAAUAAGUCACGUCAAAACAUUGAUAUGCAUAGUCGUUUUUUCCCACAAAGAUACACUGACCUAACUGACGCAUAGUUGAGCUUACGUCGCAAUCUUUGGGAUUUUCUUUGUUUCAACGGUGCCAAGAUUGUUUGAAUACUUCCUGCGAUGACGUGACGUACCGGAGCGAACUGGUUUCAUUUUCGUGUCCUUCAGCUACCGUCUUGGCUUAUAAAGAGUUGAGUACGGGCUCGUUAGUUUCAGUCGAACGUCGAGCAAGUCAACAAGUCCCAUACCAAUUCAAGAUGAAGCAUUAUCAGUUGUUUUCACUGCUUGUGAUUGUUGUAGUCCUUUUCUCUGCAGCUUUGAGUUGCAAUCCUGGUUCUAAACCGGAAGAAGCUUCAUCAAGACCUGGUACUCUUCCCCCUAACUUUGAUGAAGAUUUGAAUUCUGGAGAGUUUAGUGGACAUGAGUGUGGUCCAGUGCAUGGAAAAUGCCCACACGAACAAUGCUGUUCUUUACGCAAUGAAUGUGGAAACUCAACUUCACACUGCAAUUUGUCCUUAGGGUGCAAGAAGAAGUGGGGUAUUUGUCAUUGAUUUCUCUAACGGAGACCACAGAAAACAUUUGUCUCUAAUCUUAAAAAUGCAUUGUUGCAUUUAGACAAAGACCGAGUUAUUUUUAAAACAAUCUCAAUCAAACAAUGACAAGUGUUGUUACUAUUUCUCAUACUAAGUGGUGGAGUUGCUAAUCCUUUGUGUCCUGUUAUGAUCGUUUUAUGUUUACAAUUUCUAAAAUAAAACUAUUACUGAUUGA